GAUGAAGAACGUAGCGAAAUGCGAUACUUGGUGUGAAUUGCAGAAUCCCGUGAACCAUCGAGUCUUUGAACGCAAGUUGCGCCCGAAGCCAUUAGGCCGAGGGCACGCCUGCCUGGGCGUCACACGUCGUUGCCCCCCCCAUCUACUCCUUCGGGAUUGCGGGGGGCGGAUGAUGGCCUCCCGUGCGCCUCGCCGCGCGGUUGGCAUAAAUGCCAAGUCCUCGGCGACGCACGCCACGACAAUCGGUGGUUGCGAAACCUCGGUUGCCCGUCGUGUGCGGUCGUCGCGCAUCGAGGGCUCGAAAAAAUUGCCGGGUUCCGGCUCGGCUUUCAACGCGACCCCAGGUCAGGCGGGGUUACCCGCUGAAUUUAAGCAUAUCAAUAAGCGGAGA
rnacentral:misc_RNA from 1 species